rnacentral:rRNA from 1 species
CAAUAGCGUAUAUUAAAGUUGUUGCAGUUAAAAAGCUCGUAGUUGGAUUUCUGAAUCGAAUGUCCGGUCGGCUUACUAAGUAAGCUCGUACAGGUGAUAUUUGUUUCACUUUUUGUGAGGAAAUUUAUCUGUCAUUAAGUUGAUGGGUUUACGGACUUGCAUCGUUUACUGUGAAAAAAUUAGAGUGUUUAAAGCAGGCGUUUGCCUUGAAUACAUUAGCAUGGAAUAAUAAGAUAUGACUUUGGUGGUCUAUUUUGUUGGUUUGCACACCAGAGUAAUGAUUAAUAGGGACAGUUGGGGGUAUUCAUAUUUCAGCGUCAGAGGUGAAAUUCUUAGAUCGCUGAAAGAUGAGCUUAGGCGAAAGCAUUUACCAAGGAUGUUUUCAUUAA